UAAGUCCGUAGAGGUGCUGCAGGUAAGGCCGCCAUGUCACUGUGCAUCAGUAGAUGGUAGAGAAGAGAGAGGCUAUGUCUACAUUCAGUGUUCUGACCUAUGAACAUCUGAAUGAUUGUAGCCUAACAUU
ensembl:snoRNA LOC120101311 small nucleolar RNA SNORA17